rnacentral:rRNA from 1 species
UACGUAUGGUGCAAGCGUUAUCCGGAUUUACUGGGUGUAAAGGGAGCGCAGACGGCGCGGCAAGCCAGAUGUGAAAGGCCGGGGCUCAACCCCGGGACUGCAUUUGGAACUGUCGUGCUUGAGUGUCGGAGAGGUAAGCGGAAUUCCUAGUGUAGCGGUGAAAUGCGUAGAUAUUAGGAGGAACACCGGUGGCGAAGGCGGCUUACUGGACGACAACUGACGUUGAGGCUCGAAAGCGUGGGGAG